UGGGGAAUAUUGCACAAUGGGCGCAAGCCUGAUGCAGCCAUGCCGCGUGUAUGAAGAAGGCCUUCGGGUUGUAAAGUACUUUCAGCGGGGAGGAAGGUGUUGAGGCUAAUAACCUCAGCAAUUGACGUUACCCGCAGAAGAAGCACCGGCUAACUCCGUGCCAGCAGCCGCGGUAAUACGGAGGGUGCAAGCGUUAAUCGGAAUUACUGGGCGUAAAGCGCACGCAGGCGGUCUGUCAAGUCGGAUGUGAAAUCCCCGGGCUCAACCUGGGAACUGCAUUCGAAACUGGCAGGCUAGAGUCUUGUAGAGGGGGGUAGAAUUCCAGGUGUAGCGGUGAAAUACGUAGAGAUCUGGAGGAAUACCGGUGGCGAAGGCGGCCCCCUGGACAAAGACUGACGCUCAGGUGCGAAAGCGUGGGGAGCAAACA
rnacentral:rRNA from 1 species